rnacentral:rRNA from 1 species
UAAUACGGAGGGUGCAAGCGUUAUCCGGAAUCACUGGGUUUAAAGGGUGCGUAGGCGGCGUAAUAAGUCAGAGGUGAAAUCCUACAGCUUAACUGUAGAACUGCCUUUGAAACUGUUAUGCUCGAAUAGAGUUGAGGUUAGCGGAAUGUGACAUGUAGCGGUGAAAUGCAUAGAUAUGUCAUAGAACACCAAUUGCGAAGGCAGCUAACUGGGCUCUUAUUGACGCUGAGGCACGAAAGCGUGGGGAGCGAACAGGAUUAGAUACCCUGGUAGUCCACGCCCUAAACGAUGCUAACUCGACGUAUGGAUUUAAUUUGUGCGUCCAAGGGAAACCGUUAAGUUAGCCACCUGGGGAGUACGUUCGCAAGAAUG